UACGUAGGUGGCAAGCGUUGUCCGGAAUUGUUGGGCGUAAAGCGCGCGCAGGCGGUCCUUUAAGUCUGAUGUGAAAGCCCACGGCUCAACCGUGGAGGGUCAUUGGAAACUGGGGGACUUGAGUACAGAAGAGAAGAGUGGAAUUCCACGUGUAGCGGUGAAAUGCGUAGAGAUGUGGAGGAACACCAGUGGCGAAGGCGACUCUUUGGUCUGUAACUGACGCUGAGGCGCGAAAGCGUGGGGAGCAAACAGG
rnacentral:rRNA from 1 species